CCUACGGGAGGCAGCAGUGGGGAAUAUUGCACAAUGGGGGAAACCCUGAUGCAGCGACGCCGCGUGAGUGAAGAAGUAUUUCGGUACGUAAAGCUCUAUCAGCAGGGAAGAAAAUGACGGUACCUGACUAAGAAGCCCCGGCUAACUACGUGCCAGCAGCCGCGGUAAUACGUAGGGGGCAAGCGUUAUCCGGAUUUACUGGGGGUAAAGGGAGCGUAGACGGCAGCGCAAGGCUGGAGUGAAAUCCCAUGGCUUAACCAUGGAACUGCUUUGGAAACGGUGCAGCUAGAGUGCAGGAGGGGUAAGCGGAAUUCCUAGUGUAGCGGUGAAAUGCGUAGAUAUUAGGAGGAACACCAGUGGCGAAGGCGGCUUACUGGACUGUAACUGACGUUGAGGCUCGAAAGCGUGGGGAGCAAACAGGAUUAGAUACCCUUGUAGUC
rnacentral:rRNA from 1 species